ACUGGGGUCGAAGUAUUGAAGAGUGGGCCAGGUUCUCUGUUUUCCUCCAGGUCCAGGCGGCUGGGCAGGGCCAACGUAGGAAAUGAAGAACUGUGCACGGCGCACCCCAGGAAUUCAGCUUCCUCUCAAAAGCCAUGGUUGCGAGGUCGCGUGUUUAACCUCGCACUGGCUGCUGAGGGAAUUAACAGGCCUGCGCAGCAGCUUCGUUAGCUUCGAAAGAAAAUGGGCCCCGGCUCCCGCAGGAGGCCCGCCUGGCGCGCAGAUGUCGUUAUUAGAAUCCGGGACGUCGGUGGACCCUCUGGGUCUGGCUCCCUCGGGGCUUACGAUGAAAAAAACUGGGGGGCGCGUGUGUGUGUAUGUUGUGUUUUAUAUUAUGAGAAUUCUGAAACAUUUAGCAGAAGCAGUAUAUUACUCCCCAUAGUGCAGUUAGCUACCUUUUACCUGUUUCAUUGGCUCCACCAUACAUUUCUAGUGUUUUAAGGGAAACCGUUUCAUUCAUAAAUACCCUAAGUGUAUAUAUUUAAUAUCUAAGAGACAACUUUUAAAGGCAUAACGAUGUAAUCUCAUCUAAUGAAAUUAACAAUUCCUUAAUCUAAUUCCCAGUCCAUAUUUAGGUUUUUCAGAUGAUCUCAUGUCCUUUUACAAUUGGUUUGUGGCAUCCGGGUCCAAACCAAGGUCCACAUGUUGCAUCUGGACCACGUGUUUAAGCCUCUUACUUGAUAGCUUUAAAAUUAGCUAACACCAGAGGUUUAGAUGGUGUAAGGCAAGUCUGGCCACCAGGUGACUUGAUUUACAUUCGUUUUAGUUUCGCUCAGAAAGUAUGCUGUGCAUCUACCAAGUGCUAUGAUGUACAGAGGCCUGGUCCGGGGAGAGGAGUGUUACAAAAGUGCCUGCCUUCAACCCAUUUACGGUUUAUGGAGACAGAAAAGUAAGGUUUUCUGAUCCCUUGGAACCUGAACUGAUAGCAAAGACUUCAGCAUAAGCAUCUCACUCAGGAUAAUGUUUCUUCCUUGGCGUUCCCUUUGACCUAGUUGUGGAGGGCCUGAAUUCCAUGACAAGGACUCUGAAAUUUAGCUUGAAAACCCUAAGAGUAAUCAGUGAUAAGUCAUUAAUAGUCCUUAAACCCUUUUCCUCAAAUCCCAUCUGAAAUCCUGCUCCCUCUGUGAAGUCUUCCUUUACUGGGCACUGGUGAACACUGCUAUCUCAUUCGAGUUCCCACCACCCUUCGUUUGUACCUUUUGUGGUAGGAUCUCGAACUCUUUUGUUUUUUUUUUUUUUUUUUUUUUUUUACUUGAAACAGCGUCUCGUUAUGUCGCUCAGGCUGGAGUGCAGUGGCGCCAUCUCAGCUCGCUGCAACCUCCACCUCCCGGCUUCAAGUGAUUCUCCCACCUCAGCCUCUCGAGUAGCUGGGAUUACAGGCGCCCACCACCAUGCCCGGCUAAUUUUUGUAUUUUUAGUAGAGGUGGAGCUUCACCAUGUUGACCAGGCUGGUCUCGAACUCCUGAUCUCAAAUCAUCCACCCACCUUGGCCUCCCAAAGUGCUGGGAUUGCAGGCCUGAGCCACUGCCUCUGCCAACCGCCAUUGCCGUGUAAAUGCUGACGUCAUCCUCAUGCACGGCUGUAAAAUCCAAUUCUCUACUUUUCACAUUUUGAGAUGUUCGUAAGAGACGGUGUAAAGUUAUGGCGAGGUUAGACUGUGUAGGUUGGUAGUCUGACUCUGCCAUUUAGGAACAAUGUGACCUUCAGCAAGUUACUUAACUUUUCUGAGGUUUCCUCAGGUGUAAGAUGGGGCUUGUUAUUUUUUAUAUCAUUGGUUUAAAAGAGUUAUACAUUUCUAUUACUUAGGGCUGGGCGCAGUGGCCUGUAAUCCCAGAACUUUGGGAGGCUGAGGCGGGAUCACUCCUGCCUCAAGUCCUGAUCACUUGAGGUCAGGAGUUCGAGACCAGCCUGGUCAACAUGGCAAGACCCCGUCUCUAUUAAAAACACAAAAAUUAGCUGGGGGUGGUUGCGCACGCCUGUAGUCCCAGCUACUCGGGAGGCUGAGGUGGGAGAAUCCCUUGAGCCCAGGAGGUGGGGGUUGCAGUGAGCCAAGAUCACACCACU
rnacentral:lncRNA from 1 species